GGGCAUAGUAACUCGAAGGAUCAAAAGGUUGUUGAACGACAAAGCUGGGAAGACGAGAAGCAUCGCGGCCUUGAGAAUCAGAGUUUUCAACUGCUGCAAUCUGACUCCCAACUACAGGGGAGAUAAAACCAAAACUGUAACUUGAAGAAGUUUGAGGAAGGGAGUUUGCGUGACCUCCAGAAGGUAAUACUGUCUCCUGCUUUAAAUCAUUGUACUCGUGAAUUGUGCUUGAUGGAAGUU
rnacentral:misc_RNA from 1 species